CUUUUUUUUUUUUUUGGUUUGUUUUUGUUUUCCCCUGGGUGACUUGCCUCUUUGAAUAACUGAGGGUCAAGAUAGGUCUGUUCAACUUUAUAUUGAGUUUUUGGAUGGUUUUGGGUAUCAUUUAACCCUGUACAAUAUAUAAAAUACAUAUUUAUAUGUUAGUAGGUUUCAUGUUAGUAGAGACAGUAAUCCUAAAAAAAUCCCUUUUUUUUCAGUUAGUGAGCAACAUACAGACUAAAAUCCUCAUUAACUAGGGGAAAAAGAAAUCCUGCAGAUAUUUCUUGACCCUGCUUUAUGUCCUGGUUUUUUAGCCAGUCGUUGGCACAAUCAAAGAGCUUCAUUACAACAGCUGAAACCAGAGUGUCUGAAAUGUGGAGUGGUAUGUUUGACCUGGUGUUAAUUGUACUUGUCAGUGAUCUUUAAGUGGCAGAUGUGUUAUAGAUAGCUUUCCUGAACCAAGAUUCAGUAGCAGAACAGGAUGUGGCUUUCAUAAAGGGAAUCCUUGUAUCUGGCAACAUCAGCUUCAGAUCCUGGAAACCAGCACCUACAAAAAUGGGCAAUACUGGGGUUUGCUUGGAUGCUGGAAGGCAGCAGCAGACCAGGCAGGAUGUCUUCUGCUGGGAAUGGGGUCAGCUGCUUCACAAGCUCCUGACCUGCUCUGACAUGUGAGCUCCAGAUUGUAUCCUGGAAACGUGCAGCUUAAACAGCAAGGCUGUUUCUGAUCUUUUUCCUGAAAUGUAAGAAAAUUCUGCUGUAACAAAUAAAAAUAAGGGUUUUAUGA